rnacentral:rRNA from 1 species
UUGUCCGGAGUUACUGGGCGUAAAGCGCAUGCAGGCGGUCCACUCAGUCUGUGCUGACAGUUCCCGGCUUAACUGGGAAAGUGGUACGGAUACUGGUUGACUUGAGGGCUUCAGAGGGAUGUGGAACUCCGGGUGGAGUGGUGAAAUGCGUAGAUAUCGUAAGGAAGACCAGUGGCGAAGGCGGGUCUCUGGACAGUUCCUGACGCUGAGGCACGAAGGCCAGGGGAGCAAACGGG